UCGGGAAUUUUGGGCAAUGGGCGCAAGCCUGAUCCAGCCAUGCCGCGUGCAGGAUGACGGUCCUAUGGAUUGUAAACUGCUUUUGUACAGGAAGAAACAGUUCUACGUGUAGAACCUUGACGGUACUGUAAGAAUAAGGAUCGGCUAACUCCGUGCCAGCAGCCGCGGUAAUACGGAGGAUCCAAGCGUUAUCCGGAAUCAUUGGGUUUAAAGGGUCCGUAGGCGGUUAGAUAAGUCAGUGGUGAAAGCCCAUCGCUCAACGGUGGAACGGCCAUUGAUACUGUCUGACUUGAAUUAUUAGGAAGUAACUAGAAUAUGUAGUGUAGCGGUGAAGUGCUUAGAGAUUACAUGGAAUACCAAUUGCGAAGGCAGGUUACUACUAAUGGAUUGACGCUGAUGGACGAAAGCGUGGGUAGCGAACAGGAUUAGAUACCCCCGUAGUCCCUGAGCGGGCUGGCAAGGCGCAU
rnacentral:rRNA from 1 species